CGGGGGCGCAGCAGCGGCAGAGGCGCGACACCCGGGCACCUGGCGGGCGUCCCCGCGACCAGGGCGGGGACCCGGCUCUGCAGGCCGGUGCGGACCGAAGCAGGCUCUACCCCUGGGAGGCUUGGGUGUCCCGGCGGGCGGGAAGUUGAUUUCUAGACGCCGGGGCUCCCGCUGCAGCCCAGCACACGGGUGGCCUCCGGUCAGGGUCGCCCCCAAGAGGGUCGCAUCUCAGGGGCGGCAGCCGCAGCUCCGGGAGAACGCGGAGGUGGGGGAGGGAGACUGGCCCGGAGGUUGAGGGAGAGGCCUGGAGGCCCCGGGUUGGGUCCGCCGCAGCCUCCACCACUCGCGGCCAGUGGAGUAAGCUCAGGCUGUGCCCGACGAGGCAGGAAACUUUCCGACCUGGUAGGAAAAACACCAAAACAAACGGCCGUCAGGAGCCGGUGUCCGCCCGUCUCAGCCCUAGUGCCCCUCAGCCAGCCACCCGCCCGCCCGGACCGCCGGCCACGACCUCGGCCGACCUAUCCGCGGGCAGCCUGCGGGGUUUUGGAGCCAAGACGCCACGAAUGGCUUUGCCUCCCUAACCACUGCCGCCACCUCAGCUUACCUUGCCAGCGCCUGCCGCCAUAGUGACUCUGACUGAAACCUACCCGGUGCACCGCCACGGGAACGCGCACCCUUUUCAAGGGCCCUCCUAUCCCUUCUCCCUUGCCGUAGUCAGAGGAUGUCACGUGAACGACGCCUUGGAAGCCAUGUUGGUCAAGGGCAGAAAAGAGGGCAGGCUAAUUUUUAACGUGCCUUUGGGUGGCAUCUUAGUUAAGGGCUGAAAGCUUCAAACCUCGGGAAAACCUUUGACGACCAUUUUGGUUACGGGCAAGGAAGAAUUUGUUUUUCCCUGAAAAUAGUAACGAGCAAAGAGGACAGACCACUCAAAGAAGAUGUUUAUUGGCAGGCAUCUUAGCUGAGGGCAACACAGUGACCCGUAACCGUCUUAGCUGUGAACAACCAAACUCCGUAAGUCUCAGGAUCCUCAGCUAUGAGUAUCAUCUUUCCUCGGUUAAUUCUUCGCUGUGUUUCCUGCCAGAACUCUUUUUUAUUCCAUUUCGAAUGACUGUCCUUCUCACUGGACCUACUAUGUUGCUCAGGACUCCUACCUCGAUUCAGUCGCGAAGAAGUGAAACUUCAGAGUUUCAGAUCCUGUGGCUUCCAGAGAAGGAUGAAUUCCAAUAUGAAAAAAUAGAGCAUUGCCCCCCACUCGUUAUCGUAAGGUAGAUAAAAGAGUCAUUGGCCUAGAGAAGAAAACACUUGGCAAAAGCAAAAUGAAAACUACCAGAUGAGAAGGAAUCUUAACCAUGUAGAAUCACUGUUGUCAUUCUUCAGAUUCCUGUGACAACAGGAUACACCACUGUAUAACCUUGGGGAUCCCUAAGAAGACAGGUCGAAAUGAAGUAAAGAGGCCUAUACAACGAAAUGAGUCUGGAGAGCUUGCUUCUUCCGUCCCCGUCCCCUGGCAUGCCCACGACUCAAGACUCAAUGAUGGGAGAUCCUGUGAAUCUUCGCUGACUUUGCAUGGAGCUGGUUUCCCGGCUGCGUGACCUGUAGAGAGGAGGGCCAGCGCUUAGAAGGAGUAUCCGUGGAAAGACUCUGCUGUCUUAAAAGUCUCAAUAAUUUUUUAACAACACCUUCAUUUUCAUUAGCACUGGACCCCUCAGAUUAGAUAGCUGGUCCUGUCUUGGACGUACUGCUUUGAGAUUUCAGUAUCCUUCUCUGUGCAAAUCUACCAUUUUGUCAAGCAUGACAGAAAUGCUGUAGGAGAAACCCGUGAGCUAUUGACAGUGAAGAAGCAUCCCUAGAGACUGAGUAAAACCAGACAGGUCUGUCUCCCUGUUUCCCAGUAGCUAAUUAUAUGUAACUCAGGACCAGUGACAGAGAUGAUAGCAGAAGGAAACACGACUUGAGGUCUGUAACUUCUCACUCUAGCAUGGGCUCCAAAGUUAUUCUUCAAAAUGAUAAUAAUAUUAUAGAUUCAAUGUAGAAUGUCUGGCCACUGAAAUUUUGCAUUUUAAGUAUUUUCCCAAACUUUUUAUUAUAAAAAUUUCAAAUAUAUGGAAAUAUUGAAAUAAAAUUACAGUGAACGCAC
rnacentral:lncRNA from 1 species